rnacentral:pre_miRNA from 1 species
CAACUACUCCCUCUGUCCCAAAUUUCUUGUCUUAGAUUUGUCUAGAUACGGAUGUAUCUAAUACUAAAAUGUGACUUGAUACAUUCGUAUCUAGACAAAUAUAAGACAAGAAUUUUGGGACGGAGGGAGUACUUU